rnacentral:lncRNA from 1 species
CAGAGACAAGACUAACAUUUGUACUAUUCUGAAAGGAUUGCUGAGAGACAACUGAACUACCCAGAGUGAGUAGAGACAAUCUGAUCUGCCCAGAAAACUCUCAGACCAGACCAGCUCCCUGGAAGAGGCAGAGCCUGGAAGAGUUCAGACCAUCUGAACCAUCUGGAAGGAACACUCUCCAACCUGUUGAGCAGCCUUUGGGUUUUCCAGCUUUCAUGAGCUGCCAUCAAUGCUGGAGAUGGCUUUGGAGAUGCAGCUGUCGUCAAUGAUUCUGCUCCAGUAAGCAACUCUUCCUCUACAGUGCUAUAUGUAACUCCA